GAUGAACGCUAGCGGCGGGCUUAAUACAUGCAAGUCAAGGGGUAGCAAUACACCGGCGUACGGGUGCGUAACGCGUAUGGAACCUGCCCUUACCUGGGGGAUAACUGGGGGAAACUCGAGCUAAUACCGCAUAAGAUAGUAGAAUGGCAUCAUUCAGCUAUUAAAGAUUUAUCGGAUAAGGAUGGCCAUGCGUAAGUUUAGAUAGUUGGGGGGGUAACGGCUCACCAAGUCUACGAUCUUUAGGGGCUUUGAGAGGAGAAUCCCCCACACUGGCACUGAGAUACGGGCCAGACUCCUACGGGAGGCAGCAGUAGGGAAUAUUGGGCAAUGGGCGGAAGCCUGACCCAGCCACGCCGCGUGCAGGAAGAAGGCCCUCUGGGUUGUAAACUGCUUUUGAUUGGGAAGAAAGCAUCUCAUGCGUGGGAUUUUGACGGUACCAAUCGAAUAAGCCACGGCUAACUUCGUGCCAGCCGCCGCAGUAAGAC
rnacentral:rRNA from 1 species